UGUUUGAUGUUCUAACGUUGACCCGUAAUCCGGGUUGCGGACAGUGUCUGGUGGGUAGUUUGACUGGGGCGGUCUCCUCCUAAAGAGUAACGGAGGAGCACGAAGGUUGGCUAAUCCUGGUCGGACAUCAGGAGGUUAGUGCAAUGGCAUAAGCCAGCUUGACUGCGAGCGUGACGGCGCGAGCAGGUGCGAAAGCAGGUCAUAGUGAUCCGGUGGUUCUGAAUGGAAGGGCCAUCGCUCAACGGAUAAAAGGUACUCCGGGGAUAACAGGCUGAUACCGCCCAAGAGUUCAUAUCGACGGCGGUGUUUGGCACCUCGAUGUCGGCUCAUCACAUCCUGGGGCUGAAGUAGGUCCCAAGGGUAUGGCUGUUCGCCAUUUAAAGUGGUACGCGAGCUGGGUUUAGAACGUCGUGAGACAGUUCGGUCCCUAUCUGCCGUGGGCGCUGGAGAACUGAGGGGGGCUGCUCCUAGUACGAGAGGACCGGAGUGGACGCAUCACUGGUGUUCGGGUUGUCAUGCCAAUGGCACUGCCCGGUAGCUAAAUGCGGAAGAGAUAAGUGCUGAAAGCAUCUAAGCACGAAACUUGCCCCGAGAUGAGUUCUCCCUGACUCCUUGAGAGUCCUGAAGGAACGUUGAAGACGACGACGUUGAUAGGCCGGGUGUGUAAGCGCAGCGAUGCGUUGAGCUAACCGGUACUAAUGAACCGUGAGG
rnacentral:rRNA from 1 species